rnacentral:rRNA from 1 species
GACGUAGGGCGCGAGCGUUGUCCGGAUUUAUUGGGCGUAAAGAGCUCGUAGGCGGCUUGUCGCGUCGUCCGUGAAAACCUGCAGCUCAACUGCAGGCUUGCGGUCGAUACGGGCAGGCUCGAGUUCGGUAGGGGAGACUGGAAUUCCUGGUGUAGCGGUGAAAUGCGCAGAUAUCAGGAGGAACACCGGUGGCGAAGGCGGGUCUCUGGGCCGAUAUUGACGCUGAGGAGCGAAAGCGUGGGGAGCGAACAGG